rnacentral:tRNA from 1 species
GGGCCGCUAGCUCAGCUGGCAGAGCAACGCCCUUUUAAGGCGUGGGUCGCUGGUUCGAACCCAGCGCGGCUCA